rnacentral:rRNA from 1 species
CCUACGGGCGGCUGCAGUGGGGAAUAUUGGACAAUGGGGGGAACCCUGAUCCAGCCAUGCCGCGUGUGUGAAGAAGGCCCUCGGGUUGUAAAGCACUUUCAGUGAGGAAGAACGCCUUGUGGUUAAUACCCAUCAGGAAAGACAUUACUCACAGAAGAAGCACCGGCUAACUCCGUGCCAGCAGCCGCGGUAAUACGGAGGGUGCGAGCGUUAAUCGGAAUUACUGGGCGUAAAGCGCGCGUAGGUGGCUUGAUAAGCCGGUUGUGAAAGCCCCGGGCUCAACCUGGGAACGGCAUCCGGAACUGUCAAGCUAGAGUGCAGGAGAGGAAGGUAGAAUUCCCGGUGUAGCGGUGAAAUGCGUAGAGAUCGGGAGGAAUACCAGUGGCGAAGGCGGCCUUCUGGACUGACACUGACACUGAGGUGCGAAAGCGUGGGUAGCAAACAGGAUUAGAUACCCGGGUAGUC